rnacentral:rRNA from 1 species
UACGUAGGGGGCAAGCGUUGUUCGGAGUUACUGGGCGUAAAGGGCUCGUAGGUGGCCAACUAAGUCAGACGUGAAAUCCCUCAGCUUAACUGGGGAACUGCGUCUGAUACUGGAUGGCUUGAGUUUGGGAGAGGGAUGCGGAAUUCCAGGUGUAGCGGUGAAAUGCGUAGAUAUCUGGAGGAACACCGGUGGCGAAGGCGGCAUCCUGGACCAACACUGACACUGAGGAGCGAAAGCCAGGGGAGCAAACGGG